rnacentral:rRNA from 1 species
GAUGAACGCUGGCGGCGUGCCUAAUACAUGCAAGUCGAGCGAACGGACGAGAAGCUUGCUUCUCUGAUGUUAGCGGCGGACGGGUGAGUAACACGUGGAUAACCUACCUAUAAGACUGGGAUAACUUCGGGAAACCGGAGCUAAUACCGGAUAAUAUUUUGAACCGCAUGGUUCAAAAGUGAAAGACGGUCUUGCUGUCACUUAUAGAUGGAUCCGCGCUGCAUUAGCUAGUUGGUAAGGUAACGGCUUACCAAGGCAACGAUGCAUAGCCGACCUGAGAGAGUGAUCGGCCACACUGGAACUGAGACACGCUCCAGACUCCUACGGGAGGCAGCAGUAGGGAAUCUUCCGCAAUGGGCGAAAGCCUGACGGAGCAACGCCGCGUGAGUGAUGAAGGUCUUCGGAUCGUAAAACUCUGUUAUUAGGGAAGAACAUAUGUGUAAGUAACUGUGCACAUCUUGACGGUACCUAAUCAGAAAGCCACGGCUAACUACGUG